CGCCUUCAGACUGUGAAAACGCCGUCAACUGCUUUCUCAGGAAAAUCCGCCAUACGAUUCUGAAAACGUAUUCCCUCUAAAUACGUCGUUUCGCAACUCCCUCACUUUUAUCGCGCCGUUGAUCCCGCAUCGGGCGGUCCAGACGACUCCGCAGCAUAUGCUCCUCUCCUCCCCCAAGAAAGAAAGCAGAGCAGUCAAAAAAUCGGGGGGGUGGGAGCUCGGAGGAGAGCAUCCGCUGCCAUUGCCAACGAUGGAGGUGGAGGUGGAGGUGGAGAUGGAGGAGGUACUCCUGCCAAUGUUUCCUAGACUACACCAUCAUUUGAGAAGACAUCUAAUGCAGUCGCGGAGCUGAAAACCACACGUGUUCAGUAGGGCCUAGCCAUCAAUUUGUAUGUAAUUUUGUUGUGGUGACUACUUUUAAAUCUUUCAGGGGCUAUAUAUGAGCAAGUGUUAUCUUGAGAAUUAAUGUCAAAAGACCAAGAUGCUUUCGAGAGGAACUUCUAUCAACUCAAAGCCUUUUACAUGGAUACACGGUUUGUUUCUUCUUGAAUACUUUCUGGUACUGUGCAAUGUCAAGAACUCAAGAUUCAAUCCUUCAUAUGUACUCUGGAUGUGGAGUGUCAAGCAUUUAUACUGUGUCGCCUCUUGCUUUUCUUCUGAACCAGUAACCAUCAGCCUUAGGUUCUAGCGUUGUAUCAUGUUCUUGAAAUUUCAGGAUGGCAUUGAUAGGUGACAGAAAAACGCCGUUAAAGUAAAUAUUGCCAUUGUUAGUGUUGAAUUUUGUGGGAAGAGGAAUUCAUGUAUCCUAAUCUCUGUGACAUUGUGAAUCCCUGUAGUUUUAUAAGAACAAUCACGUUGGCAUUGGACAUUUUCUGCUCUUCUUUUUGGCCUGGGUUGAAGAAGACCGACCAAAUUUCAUUAAGAUUUGGGAAAGAUACAAGUUACAAGUAGCAUCAACAGUAUGCUGUCGAAGAUGGAGGUGUCGGGUCCUGAACAAGCCCAAACACCAAGAGAAACAAGCCCUAACUCAUUACAAUCUUUUAACAGUCCAGUCUCUUUCCAAAUGGAAAUCUCAUCCUUGAUGUCUCCAAACAACUGGCCUAAUGUGUGAUCUCUGAUUGAAAACCCGUGCAUCAUGUUCGUUCCAAACGAGCCAGCAGACCAGCAUGAAAAGUGUGUCGCAAGAUUUUCUGCAUAAGUGUGUCAUAGAUCCCAUAAUUUUCUGAAAAGUGUGCAUUACGUACAUUAAUUUUCUGUUUUUUCGGAGCUCUGCAUUCCAGAACUUAUUUUUAUUAAAUGCUAUAUUAUUCUGUGUUUAUUUGUAAUUGUUCAUCCAGUGGCAUAAUACCACCCUCCCCUGAUGAGUACCCUAUUUUGGGGCUUAGGCCCUGUUUGAUUCAGCUUAGGAUUAUUAUAAUUUAGAUUAUUAGGAGUAAGCUGAAACAAACAAGUAGAUUAUUAUGCUAGAUUAUUAUAACCUAUAAGUCAGAUUACUAUAAUCCAAUAAUCUCCUCUAGAGGAGCUUUUUUCAGAUUAUUGAGUGGCUAAAGACCCACUACCCUUAGAUGCCUCUAAUAAUCCAGAGAAACAAAUGACUCGUAGCUUAUUUUAUGUCAGCUUAUUAUAAUCCAACUUACAGUAAUCUGAUUUAAUAAUCUAGAUUACAAUAAUCUUAAGCUGAAACAAACAGGGCCUUAAUCUUCUGAGACUUUUGGCUCAGAACAAAAUUGCUGAAUUCCACGUGGAGCUGGAACUUCUGUCCCUAAAAGCUUGACUAUCCUUGCAUCAAGUUAUGCCCUGAACCUUGAGUUUUCCUUCAUGGAAGGUGCUUACAGCCAAUUAUUCAAUGCUCGUCAAACUGUUCCACAUGAGGCUUAUGACUUCUUUAUAGAUCUUCUUGCUGAAACUAUCAGAGAUGAAAUAGCUGAUUGCAGUGCUCAGGCAUAUGACUACUUGUCAAUAUCUUAUGCAAAGAAAAUGCUAUUGUUUUCUUGUGACCAACAGCUUCUUAAGUUCAUAUCAGAGGCAAG